AGAGUUUGAUCAUGGCUCAGAACGAACGCUGGCGGCAUGCCUAACACAUGCGAGUCGAACGGGAUCCUAGCUUGCUAGGUGAGAGUGGCGGACGGGUGAGUAACACGUGGGAAUCUGCCUUUGGUUCGGGAUAACCGCGGGAAACUGCGGCUAAUACCGAAUGCCCUCGUGAGAGGAAAGAUUUAUCGCCAGAAGAGGAGCCCGCGUCCGAUUAGGUAGUUGGUGGGGUAAAGGCCUACCAAGCCGACGAUCGGUAGCUGGUCUGAGAGGACGACCAGCCACACUGGAACUGAGACACGGUCCAGACUCCUACGGGAGGCAGCAGUGGGGAAUUUUGGACAAUGGGGGCAACCCUGAUCCAGCAAUGCCGCGUGAGUGAAGAAGGCCUUCGGGUUGUAAAGCUCUUUUGUCAGGGAAGAAACGGUGAGUUCUAAUAAAGCUUGCUAAUGACGGUACCUGAAGAAUAAGCACCGGCUAACUACGUG
rnacentral:rRNA from 1 species